AUACGGAGGGUGCAAGCGUUAUCCGGAAUCAUUGGGUUUAAAGGGUCCGUAGGCGGAUUGGUAAGUCAGUGGUGAAAGUCUGCAGCUUAACUGUAGAAUUGCCAUUGAUACUGCUAGUCUUGAAUUACUGUGAAGUGAUUAGAAUGUGUAGUGUAGCGGUGAAAUGCAUAGAUAUUACACAGAAUACCAAUUGCGAAGGCAGAUCACUAACAGUAUAUUGACGCUGAGGGACGAAAGCGUGGGGAGCGAACAGAAUUAGAUACCCUAGUAGUCC
rnacentral:rRNA from 1 species